rnacentral:lncRNA from 1 species
CUGCUCUCUUUGUGGUCUUCUCGGAUGCAGCAGAACUGAGGACUGGGAAGUUCCCAUGACAAACGCUCAUGUGAGGUGAAGCCUGCAGCGAGGCCGUGGUGAGGAGUCCCCCAAAGGCAGGGGUCUCUCUCGGAACAGAGUGCCCUGGCAUGUCCCCGGGACAGAGAUAGCACAGACUCCGCAGUCCGGAGGUGGACUCCAGGCAGAGCCAGCAUGUUCGAGGGGAAGUGAGUAAGUGCUGCUGUGAGGGCAGCCGACUGUGGCUCCCUGUGUGCAGAGGCCUGGCUGCUGGCUGCAGCCUUCCUGAGUGGGUCACGUGCGCCACUUGCCUGGCUGUUGGCUGCAGCCUUCCUGAGCCGGCCACCUGUAUUGCUUUCCAUAAAGCACAGCCCCACCUGGUCACACUGGGUAAACACGGGUUCCUACCAGCUCCUGCCAAUUGCCCCCAACACGAAUUUCAUCAGCUAAAGGUCGGGAAAUGAUGCUCACUAAACACUUUAUAGCAGCAAUUUGGAGGAGGUCACAAGGGCUGCCUUUUCCCAGACUCUUCUCUCGAAAACUCAUGUGUGUUUUUGUACCUGAUUUUAGUGCAAUCCCACCCUGACGCAUUAGCAAAGGAAAAGGCGUCAAUCCUAUAACUUUCUGCGUGCUGACGGCAUGAGAUCCUGUCUCUCAAGUCAGAUUUUUUGCAUGCUGUGGGAAACAUUAUGAAGUAAGCAAGUUUUCUUUUCUCCCCAACUUCCUAGAUCAUAGGAAUCAGGUAACUGCCUGAAAAACAGCCGCGGUCUGCCGCUGCUGGACUUCAAUGUCCCCCCGGCUGGAGUCUGCCUGUGCACAUCUCCAACCAGUUCCCAGGUGGUGCUGUGUAUGGAGAGGGGCCGUCUGUGCCUCUGGAGCCUCCGGAGCAUGUCUCCUGACCCCUGGAAAACAGCUACCCUGGUGCAGCAUCUGCAGGCGCUGGGUCCAGCACAGGUUUCUCAGUUCCAGGCCACACAGAGUACAUCAGAGCAUCUUGCGUGAAGCAGACAAAUCCGCAUCUGCAACAGGCUCCAAACACGACCCACAUCCCGGCCCCAGGCAUGGGGCUAGGGCCCAACUGAGCUGGGCAAGAUCAGUUAUUCGUUGUCUUCAGAAUUCAUGUUUGUAAAAUGCGGGACCCAUGUCUUGGAGGGGUGACAGGAGCAGUGUUUAGAGCAUAGCACAGGGCCCGUGCCCAUCAGGCGUUAUUGCUGUGAGCUGCCUUUAUUCGUGCUCAAGUUAUCGAAUGUGAACAAGUUUAGUGUCAAAAACAAGAAGUCCAACACCGUGAUGCAGGAUUCAUCGAAUGUGGGCGUCCCUGCCACCUCUCCACUGGCCCCUGUGACAGUCGAUGCCUGAUGUCACCUGUCAGUUCAAUGUGUAAAAGCACAAAAGUAGAUUCCUGAAUUGUGUCAAUGCCACAGAACGGAAGGGGAUGGUGCUGCAGGUUAUUCCUGUGUUUCUAGGAAGGCAACAACUGGAUAGAAUCGGGCAGAAUGGAUUUUGUCUAGUGUUUGAUGGAAAUAAUAACCCCACAUGGCUUGUCAUACACACAAAAUGCAGAGAAAUAUGCAGCGUUCUGGAGUGUCCUGCACGCUGUCACAUGGGACCCCCAUCCACUCUUCCUAUCAAAAGGCUGAUGGAUCAUGGUCUCUGCAGAUGCAGGAACUGAGCUCAGAGAGAGGCCGUGUCUUCUCCAAGACCCCCAGCCAAUGAGAGGGACCCAGGCCUGAGCACAGGUUUCUGAAUCAGAGUCCUGCCUCUCACCUUCUCAAACGUCCUUGCUUCCCUUCCCACCAAGUUUUAAUUGAGUGCACCAGGAUUGCGGUCUUCCAAAGGCAUUUAUGUGAUUGCCUUUUCCUCUUCGAUUUCUCACCAGUUAGCUUAUAAAUGACAAAGUCUGCCCCGUGGAGAGAGCGUUCUUUAGAUUUUAAUAGAAAGACAUCAACAUCGCCAUGAAAAGAUGAAGACAAUGAAAAUAAUUAUUUAGUAGGAUAAUAAACGGAAUCUGGGCAGAGUCGUGCUGAGCAGCUAUGACUUGCAUCAGCGCAUCAUGGACUGGCAGCAACUCACUGCGCAGAAUGUCCGGGCCACAGGCUUGGGCUCCCCCGACACCCCGUUUCCCAUGGGCAUUUUCCCUACUGGGGACUAACAUCAGAUGGGUUCACACUCGUGAAAGACGCUCGGCACCAAGAAACAGGUGCCUGCAGGGCUGGUGCGACACAGGGACUCUGUGGUGUAGUAUGUGUGGCUGGUCGGUGUAUUAGCGAGGAUGGGGACACGGGUGUCCAGUAAGGAGUGCUUGAACGAAGGUCCUUGAUUCACAAAACAGGAACAGUGCUGACCGCCCGCCCUCCUUUAUCCCAGGAAGAACUCCAACUGACAUAGUUACAAACAGCAUGGAAUCCAAACCUUACCCUCAUCACACCGUAAAUAACAUCUUUGUACAGCACU